UAAGUUGGUAGUGAAAGCGUGGGGCUCAACCUCAUACCCAUUACCAAAACUACUUUGACUAGAGAAUGAGAGAGGUCGCUGGAAUUUCUUGUGUAGGAGUGAAAUCCGUAGAUAUAAGAAGGAACACCGAUGGCGUAGGCAGGCGACUGGCUCAUUUCUGACGCUAAGGCACGAAAGCGUGGGGAGCGACCGGGAUUAGAUACCCCGUUAGUCCACGCCGUAAACGAUGGAUGCUA
rnacentral:rRNA from 1 species